rfam:TPA: Bos taurus chromosome 27, whole genome shotgun sequence.
UCCCUGGUGGUCCAGAGGCUAAGACUGUAUGCUCCCAAUGCAUGGGGCCCAGGUUCAAUCCCUGGUCAGGGAA